UUUUACAAUGGAGAGUUUGAUCCUGGCUCAGGAUGAACGCUAGCUACAGGCUUAACACAUGCAAGUCGAGGGGUAAUGACAGCGAAAGCUUGCUUUUGCUGGGCGACGACCGGCGCACGGGUGAGUAACGCGUAUCCAACCUGCCCAUAACUAAGGGAUAAUCCGUAGAAAUGCGGUCUAAUACCUUAUGUGUUCCGAGGAAGA
rnacentral:rRNA from 1 species